AGGUCUGAUGUGGGUCUCUUGUAGACAGCAUAUAGAUGGGUCUUGUUUUUGUAUCCAUUCAGCAAGCCUGUGUCUUUUGGUUGGAGCAUUUAAUCCAUUCACAUUUCAAUAAUUAUUGAUAUGUAUGUUCCUAUGACCAUUUUCUUAAUUGUGUUGGGUUUGUUUUUGUAGGUCCUUUUCUUCUCAUAUUUCCCACUUAGAGAAGUUCCUGUAGCAUUUGUUGUAGAGCUGGUUUGGUGGUGCUGAAUUCUCUUAGCUUUUGCUUGUCUGUAAAGCUUUUGAUUUUUCCGUCAAAUCUGAAUGAGAUCCUUGCUGGGUACAGUAAUCUUGGUUUUAUGUUCUUCCCUUUCAUCACUGUAAAUAUAUCAUGCCACUCCCUUCUGGCUUGUAGAGUUUCUGCUGAGAAAUCAGCUGUUAACCUUAUGGGAGUUCCCUUGUAUGUUAUUUGUCAUUUUUCCCUUGUUGCUUUUAAUAAUUUUUCUUUGUUUUUAAUUUUUGUCAGUUUGAUUACUAUGUGUCUUGGCAUGUUUCUCCUUGGGCUUUUCCUGCCUGGGACUCUCUGCACUUCCUGUACUUGGGUUGCUAUUUCCUUCCCCAUGUUAGGGAAGUUUUCUAUUAUAGUCUCUUCAAAUAUUUUCUCAGGUUCUUUCUCUCUCUCUUCUCCCUCUGGGACCCCUAUAUUGCAAAUGUUGUUGUGUUUAAUGUUGUCCCCAAGGUCUCUUAGUCUGUCUUCAUUCCGUUUCAUUCUUUUUUCUUUAUUCUGUUCUGCAGCAGUGAAUUCCACCAUUCUGUCUUCCAGGUCACUUAACCAUUCUACUGCCUCAGUUCUAUUGAUUCCUUCUAGUGUAUUUUUCAUUUCAGUUAUUGUGUUGUUCAUCUAUGUUUGUUUGUUAUUUAAUUCUUCUGGGUGUUUGUUCUUUAAUUCUUCUAGGUCUUUGUUAAACAUUUCUUAGAUCCUCUCAAUCUUUGCCUCCAUUCUUUUUCCAAGGUCCUGGCUCACCUUCACUAUCAUUAUUCUGAAUUCUUUUUCUGGAAGGUCGCCUAUCACCACUUCAUUUAGUUGUUUUUCUGGGGUUUUAUCUUGUUCCUUCAUCUGGUACAUAGUCCUCUGCCUUUUUCAUUUUGUUUAUCUCUCUGUGAAUGUGGUUUUCAUUCCACAGGCUGCAGGAUUGUAGUUCUUGCUUCCGCUGUCUGCCCUCUGGUGGAUAAGGCUAUCUAAGAGGCUUGUGCAAGCUUCCUGAUGGGAGGGACUGGUGGUGGGUACAGCUGGGUGUUGCUUGGUGGGCAGUGCUCAGUAAAACUUUAAUCCACUUGUCUGCUGAUGGGUAGGGCUGAGUUCCCUCCCUUUUGGUUGUUUGGACCCAGGAGACCUAGCCCUGGAGCCUAGAGGCUCUUUGGUGGGGUAAUGGCGGACGCUGGGAGGGCUCACGGUGAGGGCUCAUGCCAAGGAGUACUUCCCAGAACUUCUGCUGCCAGUGUCCUUGUCCCUGUGGUGAGCUACAGCCAUCCCCCAUCUCUGUUGGAGAACUUCCAACACUAGCAGUUUUCCUCCCAUACUGCCAUCAUCCUAGAAACACUGCCUGAGUGCAUCUUCUCUUUCUGCACAUUUUAAGAGUAUUACUGAAUUUCAUUUAUGUUGUCAACACUGUGCCAGGUGCUGUGUAGGUGGACAAGAGUUGGGAGACCAGAAGGAGGAGCUCUCACGCCUUGUGAAGAUAACAGCCCAACAGGAAGAAGAAAGAUUCCUCUUUCCUGACAACAAAUCAGCCAAUGAAAAGUGGACUCUGUGUUUACUAUAGCUCUCUCAACUUCCUUUUUCCUCUCUGUAAAAGAGUUCUUCUCUUACUGUACAGGGGGAUUUCUUGUGGCUUACCAAUUUGGCAGACGCCAAAUUGCAAUUCUCUGCUAAUCCUAAAAAAAAAAACAACACAUUUUUUGGCUAGAGAAAUAACUGGCAGUCUAUUUGUUUUAGGUCAAUACUUGUUCUUUGAGAUUCAAAUAAAAUUUGGUUUGAACAAAAUGCAACAUGUCUCCAAAAUGUCUCCAAUAAUCCUGUGGACUGCUAGAACCUUAAUGUCACAGCUGUCACUUAGAGCACCUCAAUCUGUCUCCAGAUUGGCUCUGUCCCAAAGCUGCUACUAAGACUCCUCAGACCCCCCCACACAGUGCUAGUGACUAUUUACCUCCAUUCUUUAGAGCAGUGGUUCUCACAGUGUGGUCCCGGGACCAGUGGCAUCAACAUUACCUGGGAAUUUGUUAGAAAUGCAAAUUCUUGGGCCCUCAUUGAGACUUAUGAGUCAGAAUCCUUGGGGGCAGAGCCCAGCAAUCUGUGUUUUAAUGAAUCUUAAUUGACUGUGAUGCUCACUAAAAUCUGACAGGCUGUGCUUUACAGCAGAACUGCUCAAAAUGUGGUCCAUAUAUCUGCAGUAUCAGAUGAACUGGGGGCUUGUUAAAUUUCAAAAUCUCUGGCCACACUCUAAAUUUACCAAAUCAGAAUCUCAGAAUUCUGGUUUACAAGCUUUCCAGAUGAUGUUCAUGCUUGCUAAAGUUUGAGAAGCAAAUUUAAAGCACUCGUGGGGCUCCUCAUCUAGUCUCUUUUUAGCACAAGAACAGAGGGGCUGGAGACCUAGCAAUACAGUUCUUUUACACUUAUCCCCUUUUCUCUCCUUCCAAAUGCAUACAGGUGCUGCUAAAAUUCUUGAUGUGAUGGUUCAAACACUACUAGGACUUGCUGCUAGCCUAGCCUAUCCUGACAGAUCAUUUCUUCACACAAAGGAAUAUUUCUCUCAAGAGGCCGAUCACAUCCCCAAGGAUUCUAUGGCGGCAAAGGAGUCUUUGCCUGCACAGAGCACAAAGAAAGAAAAAAACAAAAAAUACCUCUGGGAUAGGCACUAGAGAGACUGAGUUUGUUAAACUGCACACAGUUGCAUUGAUAAGUCUCAGCACUGACAACCAGAAUGCCUUGUUACAAAUUGAAGGAUAGAUGAAAUAUUCAGAAAGGAAUUACCAUAUGUGAAUAUGCUGGGUUUGGUUUGACUUUGUAAAUUGUAUUGUAUUUUAUUUGAUAGGA